UGGAAUGAUUUGCAUGUAAAUAUCGCUUGGACUAUCAAUUGGAGGGGCAAGUCUGGUGCCAGCAGCCGCGGUAAUUCCAGCUCCAUUAGUGUAUAUUAAAGUUGUUGCGGUUAAAAAGCUCGUAGUUGGAUUUCUGUUGGGUAUCGCGUGGUCUGCUCCUCGAGUACGUAUCUGCGUCGAUCCUGGCAUCCUCGCAACGCUCUGUGGCAUUAAUUUGCUGCUUGGCUUGCGACUUUUACUUUGAGGAAAUUAGAGUGUUCACGGCAGGCAUUUGCUUUGAAUAUAUUAGCAUGGAAUAAUAA
rnacentral:rRNA from 1 species